CGGACGGGUGAGUAACACGUGGGUAACCUGCCCAAGAGACUGGGAUAACACCUGGAAACAGAUGCUAAUACCGCAUAAGCGCACAGCUUCGCAUGAAGCGGUGUGAAAAACUCUGGUGGUAUACGAUGGUUCCGCGUCUGAUUAGCUAGUUGGUGGGGUAAUGGCCUACCAAGGCAACGAUCAGUAGCCGGCCUGAGAGGGUGAACGGCCACAUUGGGACUGAGACACGGCCCAAACUCCUACGGAAGGCAGCAG
rnacentral:rRNA from 1 species